ensembl:snRNA U6 U6 spliceosomal RNA
GUGCUUGGUUUGGUAGCACAUAUACUAAACUUGGAAUGACACAUAGAAUAUUAGCAAGCUCCUAUGCAAGAAUUACAUGCAAAUUUGUGAAUCAUUCCAUACUUUU